CAACUCCAUAGACUUUGUCACGAUGAUCUCUCGCACCACAUCAUGCACCCUGCAGGUUUUAACUCUCCCAUCAGAUUUCUUACUUGACACUUGAACCAAGCUUCUAUGGAUGAGCUCGGACAGGUACUCUUCUGCAACUUCUUCUAAAGUUUUGCCCCUCUGUUCUUCAAUGAAGCCCUCUGCUAUCCACAACCGGAUCAAUCUUCCACAAUUAAUAGAGUAAUCCUCAGGUAUUAUGCCAAAGUACAAGAAACAGGAUCUGAGGUAGUAGGGCAAAUCAUGGUAACUAAGCAACACAAUUUUUGAGAUGCUUG